CAAUGUCCAUGGCAAUGCCUUCAGUACAACACCUCAAGGCCAUUUCACCAAAUCCGAACGAACACGCGAGGGAGAUAAGAUCGAAGUUGGAAGUGGAGGUUGGAGGAAGCUUUUUGUUGAGUGUUGCUAGAGAAAAUUCUGGAAGUUGUUUCGGUGUAGGUUGAGGGUUCAAAAAGAGAGGUGAGGAAGAGGAGUCGCAUGGUGGUUCAAGGGUGGUUUCAAAACCGGUUCGCAAUGAGUUUUUUUAGAGACGAGGUUAUGAAGGAAGCUAGUUGGGAUGCGAUUCUGUUACGACAGUUGGUUGAAGCCGUUAGAGUUCGGUUGAAGGUUAGUUAUGACAGUCGUUAGGAUUCGGUCAUGGCCUCCUGAAAUUAUCCUUCUGUUAUGAGGAGCUUCGGUUCCUUUCCGUUUCUGUUAUGCUACUAGGGGGGGAAAAUGAAUCUGGUUAUCAAGUUUGUUACCUUUCUGUUAUAGGUUCUUGGUUAUGUUAGUUUUAUUUAUGUUGGCUGGUUUAUGGAAGUUGGUUGAAUGAUUAUCAGAUGGUUUUUAGCAAAGUCAGUUAGCAGAGGUAUGUAUUCUGCUAUGGGAGUCUUAAGUUGGUUGGAAUUUUCGACCGUGAAUGGUCAAUUUCUGAAACCGAAAGCUCCCGUCAUUCACUAUUUAUUAGACAUGAAGAAGCAUUUGAGUGGAAAGUGCAGGGAAGAGCGGAGAAUUAAAUCAAGGGCGUUCUUUCACGUUAUCAACAAUAAUUAUCACACCUAGCACAGUCGCACCAACAACAGUAUAACCAAUUCUUCCACCGGCACCGGGACGCCACCGGUAAUUACACUCAUCUCACUUAUGAUCAUCCAUGGGAGUUUCGUAUGCUUCGGAAACCUGUUUGAAUCGAGUUCGUUGCAUUGUCUUUUACAGCUUUUGGUGAUUGGGAAUGCUUAUCCGGAUGAAAUUAGAAUGCGAGUUUUCUUGGAUACCGAUUUGAUUUCUUCUUUAGAUGUUGUUUUGUGUAAACCUAAAGCCUUAUAAUGAUCCAUCUAUAGAGUGUUUAGAUUUGGAUUUUGUUUUUAGGGUCUGGUAAUUGUAAUUUCACUUUAGUUUGAAAUGUUUUUUUUUUUGAAUGCAUAAAUUGAUUUGAAAUAUGUAUAUAUGAAUGCAUUAGAAAAUGGUUUGGAAUGUUUCUAAUUGA